rnacentral:lncRNA from 1 species
GGAAAACUUACACAUAGUAUUGUCUUAAGUUUUUUUAAAACUCAGUGUAAUUUCCAAUUUUAAAAAUACAAUUUGGGAAGGUAAAGACUUAAUGAAUGUAGUAUUCAGUGAACUAAUGAACCAGAGCCAGAUUAGAUAGUUAAAUCCUUUCAGUAGUUUUGUUGAAUAGGCAUUUUAGUAGAUAACAUGCCAGACAACAUUUAGUAAAUCCUUAAUAUAAUAACAACUGUGAUCUCAUUCUUAGUGAAAGGGAAAUUAUCACAUUUCCUAUGUAAAAUUAUAUUCAUUAAGAAAACAAAUACAUCUCUAACAUCUAUAGUAGUAAAUAAUACAAUAUGCUUAAGUAGCACUUGUAUUUUUAUUUUUGAAAUUUGUGUCCUACUCUCUUAAAAGGGCAUGAAGGGGCCUACAAAAUACAAAGCUGUCAAGGAAGACAUUUAACAUUAAAACAGCACAGAAGUACAUGGUUUCAGACCACUAAGAAAGUAAAGCUUGGACAAAAAAAUUGUUUCUAAAUUUUCCUGCUUCUAAAGCAG